UGUCCCUGCUGGAGCAGGGGGUUGGACUAGGUGAUCUCUAGGGGUCCCUUCAAACCUUGGCCAUUCUGUGAGAUAUAUAUCAGGAGGCAG